AUUGUCGCCUCAAAAACAUCCGAUAAAAUUGGAAUAAUACAGAGAAGAUUAGUAUGGCCUGUGCAAGGAUGACAUGCACAAAUCGAGAAAUAGUCUAAAUUUUU